UACAGAGGUCCCAAGCGUUGUUCGGAUUCAUUGGGCGUAAAGGGUGCGUAGGCGGCGCGGUAAGUCGGGUGUGAAAUCUCGGGGCUUAACUCCGAAACUGCAUUCGAUACUGCCGUGCUUGAGGACUGGAGAGGAGACUGGAAUUUACGGUGUAGCGGUGAAAUGCGUAGAUAUCGUAAGGAAGACCAGUGGCGAAGGCGGCUCACUGGCCCGAUACUGACGCUGAGGCACGAAAGCGUGGGGAGCAAACAGG
rnacentral:rRNA from 1 species